GAUGAACGCUGGCGGCGUGCUUAACACAUGCAAGUCGAACGGAGUGCCUUUGAAAGAGGAUUCGUCCAAUUGAUAAGGUUACUAGUGGCGGACGGGUGGAGUAACGACGUGAGGAACCGUACGCCUUCGGUAGGUGGGGAAGGUAAACAACAGUGAAAAUUAGUUGCUAAUACCGCAUAAUAGCAGUUGGGUCGGCAUGACUCUGACUGCCAAAGAAUUUAUUCGCUCUGAGAUGGCCUCGCGUCUGAUUAGCUAGUUGGUGGGGUAACGGCCCACCAAGGCGACGAUCAGUAGCCGGACUGAGAGGUU
rnacentral:rRNA from 1 species